rnacentral:lncRNA from 1 species
GGGGUUUGCUGCGGGAAAACACGCCACGCAAGCCCUACGACCUGCUUUUGGCUUCAGUUUCCUCACCUAUGAACUGAACAGCAGGAAGAGGAUUCCAAAAAGAGGUUCUCAGCAGAAAACUGCCUGAAGAACUUGAAGCGAAUAAAAGGAUCCAUUUGAAGAAGUCCCGUGAGAAGGAAAAAGAGCAAUUUUCCCAGACAGCUAGAUAUAAGUAUCCUACAACAAACCC